rnacentral:rRNA from 1 species
CAAUAGCGUAUAUUAAUGUUGUUGCAGUUAAAAAGCUCGUAGUUGGAUCUCUGGCUUUGUUCGGACGGCCCGCCUUCGGGUUGAGUGCUGGAAGAACUAGCCUAUUUUCCGGUUGGCGUCCUUUCUCUUUCUUUGAGCGAGGUUCGCGAUCCGGAUCGGUUACUGUGAAAAAAUUAGAGUGUUUAAAGCAGGCGUUUGCCCAUUUGAAUACAUUAGCAUGGAAUAAUAAGAUAUGACUUUGGUGGUCUAUUUUGUUGGUUUGCACACCAGAGUAAUGAUUAAUAGGGACAGUUGGGGGUAUUCAUAUUUCAACGUCAGAGGUGAAAUUCUUAGAUCGUUGAAAGAUGAGCUUAGGCGAAAGCAUUUACCAUGGAUGUUUUCAUUA